rnacentral:rRNA from 1 species
AGUGAACGCUGGCGGUAGGCCUAACACAUGCAAGUCGAACGGCAGCACAGUAAGAGCUUGCUCUUACGGGUGGCGAGUGGCGGACGGGUGAGGAAUACAUCGGAAUCUACUUUUUCGUGGGGGAUAACGUAGGGAAACUUACGCUAAUACCGCAUACGACCUACGGGUGAAAGCAGGGGAUCUUCGGACCUUGCGCGAUUGAAUGAGCCGAUGUCGGAUUAGCUAGUUGGCGGGGUAAAGGCCCACCAAGGCGACGAUCCGUAGCUGGUCUGAGAGGAUGAUCAGCCACACUGGAACUGAGACACGGUCCAGACUCCUACGGGAGGCAGCAGUGGGGAAUAUUGGACAAUGGGCGCAAGCCCGAUCCAGCCAUACCGCGUGGGUGAAGAAGGCCUUCGGGUUGUAAAGCCCUUUUGUUGGGAAAGAAAAGCAGCAGGUUAAUACCCCGCUGUUCUGACGGUACCCAAGGAAUAAGCACCGGCUAACUUCGUG